GACGAACGCUGGCGGCGUGCUUAACACAUGCAAGUCGAACGGAAAGGCCCUUCGGGGUACUCGAGUGGCGAACGGGUGAGUAACACGUGGGUGAUCUGCCCUGCACUUUGGGAUAAGCCUGGGAAACUGUGUCUAAUACCGAAUAGGACCACGCGCUUCAUGGUGUGUGGUGGAAAGCUUUUGCGGUGUGGGAUGGGCCCGCGGCCUAUCAGCUUGUUGGUGGGGUAAUGGCCUACCAAGGCGACGACGGGUAGCCGGCCUGAGAGGGUGACCGGCCACACUGGGACUGAGAUACGGCCCAGACUCCUACGGGAGGCAGCAGUGGGGAAUAUUGCACAAUGGGCGCAAGCCUGAUGCAGCGACGCCGCGUGAGGGAUGACGGCCUUCGGGUUGUAAACCUCUUUCAAUAGGGACGAAGCGCAAGUGACGGUACCUAUAGAAGAAGCACCGGCCAACUACGUG
rnacentral:rRNA from 1 species